AUCUUUUUUCCCCCAGCUAUGAGUAGGGAUAGCAGAACCACGAGGGAUAAGGGGUACUUUCCUCCUGGAAGGAUGAAGAUGUCUGCACACCAUCCUGUGUUGUGUAACUGGACCUGUUUCUAUAUCACACAAGUAACUGGCCCAGAGAUCCUCUGUCAGUUCCCAAAGACUACCCCUUGCAAAGGAAGCCAGAAACCCAAAGCCAGUGUUCUUGCUCCCAACUUCAAGGCUUUUCAAGUGCUCAUCUUCCAGAGAGGGAAUGUCUCAUAGUGAUGAGAGGGAUUUCUGUGCUUCCUGAUGCUUUUCCUGAUAACCCCAAGACUGGCUAUGUCCCUUCAUUUCUGACUCUACUCAAAUGCUGCGCUCCACAGAAGUGGCCUGCCCUCCAAGAGACCCUCACUUUGUUUUAGUUGUGCCUAUUAAUUGCUGCCUAUGCCUGAAGUGUUGCUGUGGACCAAGUCUGCUUUCGGCUUCCCUUUGAUAAUUUCACCUCUGCAGCAGAGACGCUUAGAUGUUGUGUUGACUGCUGUUUGUCGCACACCUAGAACAGCUGCCCAUGCCAUAGAGAUUCAUUCAGUACUGUCGGGGUGAAGGAAUGAAUGGGUAGAAAGAAGUCCAAGAGAGACUUGUGUGAAGGCCAUUGUCACUGUUGCUGUGAAAGUCCUCUGUUCUCCUCCCUGGGGAAUGACAGAAAAGCAGAGCUGACUGGGCUCCAACCCCGGUGAGGAAGCAGAGACUCACCUCUGACUGGGGAGGCUGCCUGGGACCAAUGGGCAUUUUACCCCCUCACCUCUGAUUAUUGAGCUGGGACCUUAAUUUACUGGGUCCAUCCCUGAGUUAGUUUCUCAAGCCUUCCUUGUGACAUAAAAUAUAUUUUCCAAACCAGCAAGCCCUAGGAACCAGGUGGGCCUUGAGUUUGGAUGUGGACAUGCUGGGGAGUCUCUGAAGGUUCGGAACGUGAUGCUCAGAUCCAAAAUUAGCGUGUUUGUGCUGUACUUUCUGUUCCUUUUCCUUUCCUUUCUUUGAAAGAAGCCUGGAGCUCAGGCUAGACCGGCUGCCCAGCACAGAGAUGACAACACACGCCACCAGGUUCUGCUUUGUUUCCACGUAGGAAUCUGGCCCAGACCCACACGCUAGGGUAGUCAGCACUUAACCAACUGAGCUGUCUCUCCAGCUCCAAGGUUUCCUAGGACACACUUCCCCGUGGUGGAAGCCCUCAUGUGAGGCUGGCGAAUCUGCUCAUCAUGCAACUGGGCGAGCAGCAGCACCCAAGGCUUCGUGGACAACACAGAGAUGCUUUAGGACUGAGGCUAGUAUCCUGGACAUACUGGGAGGGAUUCUGCCAGAAUGGAUUCCAGUACAGGAAGAACGCUUGCUGUUUCUCCAGGAAGUUCCUGCUCCACCACAGAAAAGAGAAACAAAUGGCUUCCAAUUCAGUUAAAUUGGAGGCAGCUUUCACCCUCCUGUUUCAGGAAGGUCUGUGUUGUCUGGGCCCUGUGGCCAUGGAAUGUCAACAGCCUCACCUUACCAGCAGGACACUGGGGGACUGUAAAGAGCUCACUGUGAUCAAAUUCUUCUGUCCCAGGUUUAUCUAAUUAAGUAGAUUCUUUUCAUUUUAACCAGAGCUACAUCAAACUGUAGGUGUCCCGUGUGUAGAUCAACCUGUGAGAAGAUCAGUUCCAGGAUAAGGAAUGGGUGCUCGAAUUGCCCUGAUGAACAAGGUUCCCAUUACAGUGGCACACAGAGGCAAAUCCUGCUAAUCCCAGCUCUGACUGUUUCCUCGGGAUUUGAAUAGUGGCCUGGAAUAUGCUCUUCUGCAUGCAGUUUCUGCACACCGAAGACACAGAGCAGCCAGGAGGCAGCUCUGUUCUCUGAAAAAUAUCCAUUCAGUUUUACAUUGUUGAGUAGCCACAUGCUAGAUACCAGGUAUCAACUCAGCCUCAGGCUGGCCAGAAAGAGAUGUAUGGACAGACAGUGGGACCGGUCCAAGAGAGGAAUGCUCCAGUCUGUUGGGUACCAACAUGUAUAACUCUCGUCCAAGUGUCUUCCUACUGAACCCUGGUGGCAAGGUCAUAUGCAACUGAACAUUAAGCAGUCUCUGUUCAGAUUCUAGAGCCCACUCUCUUCCUGGCUCUACUGAUGCUUGUGAUGUUUGUGAUGCAGGAUGUGUGACCACCAUGCUGACAGCUAGACCAUGACAUGUUCUGAGGAGAUGAGCAGAUGUCUAUUCAUCUCAGAUCACUACCAGUAAACCAAAGAAAUGACUCC
ensembl:lincRNA Gm42505 predicted gene 42505